rnacentral:rRNA from 1 species
AGGACGAACGCUGGCGGCGUGCCUAACACAUGCAAGUCGAACGAGGUCCAUCCGGUAGCAAUACUGGUGAAGAUCAAGUGGCGAACGGGUGAGUAGCACGUGAGCAACCUGCCCCGAAGACCGGGACAACACCGGGAAACCGGUGCUAAUACCGGAUAUCCCCACCGAGUCGCAUGGCUUGGUGAGGAAAUGGAUUCCGCUUCGGGAGGGGCUCGCGGCCUAUCAGCUUGUUGGUGAGGUAAUGGCUCACCAAGGCUUCGACGGGUAGCUGGUCUGAGAGGACGAUCAGCCACACUGGGACUGAGACACGGCCCAGACUCCUACGGGAGGCAGCAGUGGGGAAUCUUGCACAAUGGGCGAAAGCCUGAUGCAGCAACGCCGCGUGAGGGACGAAGGCUUUCUGAGUUGUAAACCUCUUUCAGCAGGGACGAUUGUGACGGUACCUGCAGAAGAAGCCCGGCAACUACGUGCCAGCAGCCGCGGUAAU